UGUGGACGUGUCAGUCGGCGCAUAAGAUAGCUGUCACCGUGUCCACUGUAGCGGAAGCCGGCUAUGUGACAAGCCAAGGACGGGGCUCACAAGGAAGGUUGCAUCCCUUCCGUAGGGGAGGCUUGCCCCACUCCUGACAAGAGGCGAGGUGGACCGGCGGCCCUUGAAGUACUGCAACAGAGCCAGGGACAGCGACAGAUGGUGGUCAAGCCAGAUAACCGUGUCUGGGGUAGCGGAGAUGUACCGCUGCGAUGUCUCCUUCGUAUUUGUGGGGCGGAGGCACAGCGUGCACAUCUGCCGGAUGACAUCGCCACAUCCUACCGACUCCAGCUGGGUCCGUGCGUCACGCUGACGUCACACCCCGGCCCGUGGAUCCCGCACAAAUAGAUGGUGCAACAUUAACUGCCUGGAGUCAACUUCAAGAUCUGCCACGAUCAAUGCAACGCUGGAAAGGGCUGUGGAAUUUUCCCUCCGUGCCCCAGGGCUACGAGGACAAGAUGAAUCAGCGGAACGAAGACUGUGAAAGCUACGCGCCUCACACAGCCGUGCUGAAAACUCUCAUAAAGUCUACAUGAGAGCAUCUGUGUCAAGCCACUGCUGGAUGAAGGCCUCCCUACCCCUACUGCGACCAUACUUCACCACUCUGGUCAACGCGGCCUUGGGUGCAGGCCAAUAUACAACUUUGGCGCUAACAUAAAUUAAAUACGUCGCGACAACAAUGCUACUUUUCCUCAGAAACGCGCUUAAAAGUACUAAGUAAAAUAUAAAAACCUUAAAACAGGAGCAGACACGUUGAUCGUCCGCUGACCAGCAGCCCGUGGUGCUUCGAGUAGGCCGCAGCGAAUAAACAUUACACAACGCUGCCCUUCGCAAUACGUCCUACCACGAGUGUUUCAGUCAACACACACACAAAUAUACACAGUAGCGAGACAACUAGACAUGAUGUUAAAUUAUAGAACACAGUCAUAUUUGUACAGUGCGGUACAGUGCAUGGUAAGCACGUGGCGAGCACGUUGUUACGAUCAUACGGAACUGUACGUCAACGCGCGUUAUUCUAUAAACUAUGCACUAGGAUAGGCUUCAAUCAUGAAUAAUUGUUCUUAUAGUUGAAAUAAUCGAUGUUUUUUUGGUGUUAAUGUAACACUAUUCCACACAACAUGCCGCUUAAUAUCAGCGUGCGAGCCCCUGACGUUAAAGUUGACCAUACAAACCCCUAACACGGCGCACCAUCUUCAUCAAAAUCACCACCAUCCUGCGUGCAUUACUCAAAUUAAUCUAAAAAACAAGAUGCGUUGUAGGAACACCCAACGCGUCGCAACUCACCGAAUAGGCGAGAGCUGAGAACACGCGCGCCUCGUUCCCACCGACAACACCGGCAAACUCUCGCGCGCUGCCCGUCAUCCGGCCGUGCUAUAAUGAGGACCCAUCCCACUCCCACCCCCCUCCUCCUCCGCCCCCCAGAGGAUCGAGCGGUUUUCCCCCCAAGUUGAACUUAAAUCCACGUUUUUUCGGUAAAGUCACGUAGGUAAAAAUAAAUAAUAAAACUAAUAGAAAUAAUCAUAUAAAUAAAAUAAUUAUUAUAUUUCGGGAUCGAACCCACGACCUCCUGUAUACCGGGCGAAAUAGAUAACAUCUACAAAAGCUUUUUUUUUUGGGGUUAGAUCUCGUAAACAUAAAUGUGUCGUUAAACCCGCCACAACUGACAACCAAUUAGUGAGGUUUGUCACGGAAACAAAACGUGCCAAAUAGUUAAUAUUUCAGCACACAGGUGUGUUGGAGAGUAAACCGACAUUUAAAAUUCGAUUAAAUAUGAAUACGCGUCCGAAACAAAAGGUUUAAAAAACAUUGUCAUUAUUUCCAGAUCAAUGUGCAUCACAUCCCCGCGGACCACCUGGAAGACCGUCGCAGACCGCUGGCGCUCCAAGCGACGCUCUCU